rnacentral:rRNA from 1 species
UUACCUACGGGACGCAGCAGUGGGGAAUAUUGGGCAAUGGGCGCAAGCCUGACCCAGCAACGCCGCGUGAAGGAAGAAGGCUUUCGGGUUGUAAACUUCUUUUCUCGGGGACGAAGCAAGUGACGGUACCUGAGGAAUAAGCCACGGCUAACUACGUGCCAGCAGCCGCGGUAAUACGUAGGUGGCAAGCGUUAUCCGGAUUUACUGGGUGUAAAGGGCGUGUAGGCGGGAAAGCGAGUCAGAUGUGAAAACCAAGGGCUCCACCUGUGGCCCGCAUUUGAAACUGUUUUUCUU